UGAAGAAAAUGUGAUAGUGCGAAAUUAAAUUUUUGGACGAAAUUUUUCAUUUCCAACAACGAAAACAGAAAAAAACCACCCGAUUGGUUCUUGCGAGUCUUGAGUCGAACAGGCGAUUCAGUUGAAUGACCACGACGACCUUACGAUCAUGAGCAAAUCAAAAAAACUAAAAAGGUUCUGUG